UGUGUCCCAAUAUCUAAAAUAAAAAUAAAAUUGGAAUAAUACAGAGAAGAUUAACAUGGUUCCUGCAAAAGGAUGACAUGCAAAUUUGUGAAGGGUUCCAGGUGUGU
ensembl:snRNA U6 U6 spliceosomal RNA